rnacentral:rRNA from 1 species
UGAUGUGCAGCAGCGCGCAAGUCGUACAGGUAGCAAGUCGUACAAGUAGCACUGUGCAGCAGACGCGGGAUGUGCAGCAGACGCGGGAUGUGCCAGCAGGCCGCGGCACAAGUCGUAACAAGGUAACCACUGUGCCAGCAGGCCGCGGUAAUACGGAGGGUGCAAGCGUUACUCGGAAUCACUGGGCGUAAAGAGCGUGUAGGCGGGUAUAUAAGUCAGAAGUGAAAUCCAAUAGCUUAACUAUUGAACUGCUUCUGAAACUGUAUACCUAGAAUGUGGGAGAGGUAGAUGGAAUUUCUGGUGUAGGGGUAAAAUCCGUAGAGAUCAGAAGGAAUACCGAUUGCGAAGGCGAUCUACUGGAACAUUAUUGACGCUGAGACGCGAAAGCGUGGGGAGCAAACAGGAUUAGAUACCCUGGUAGUCCACGCCCUAAACGAUGUACACUAGUUGUUGUGAGGCUCGACCUUGCAGUAAUGCAGUUAACACAUUAAGUGUACCGCCUGGGGAGUACGGUCGCAAGAUUAAAACUCAAAGGAAUAGACGGGGACCCGCACAAGCGGUGGAGCAUGUGGUUUAAUUCGACGAUACACGAAGAACCUUACCUGGACUUGACAUAGUAAGAACUUUCUAGAGAUAGAUUGGUGUCUGCUUGCAGAAACUUAUAUACAGGUGCUGCACGGCUGUCGUCAGCUCGUGUCGUGAGAUGUUGGGUUAAGUCCCGCAACGAGCGCAACCCUCGUCAUUAGUUGCUAACAGUUCGGCUGAGAACUCUAAUGAGACUGCCUACGCAAGUAGGAG